GGGCGGUUAGCUCAGUUGGUAGAGCGCCACGUUUACACCGUGGAAGUCGGCGGUUCGAGCCCGUCACCGCCCACCA
rnacentral:tRNA from 1 species